ACGUUUAACUGUCUUGCGUAGAUAAACAAACAUUUUGUUUCGUUGCAUUUUAAAACGUAUCAUUUCUUGAGAGAAAAAAGUGUUUACGAUGUUUUUAUCGGAUCAGAGUUGGUAGAAGGGGGCUAUCGCAUAUCUUGUCACGAUUUUCACGUAAAAAGCGUAUGUAUAUACAAGCGAAAAGUUUGGAAAGUUACCACUCCUUAGGAAGAAUGAACAGGUAGGAGACGAUGAUGGAACGAACGAGAUAUACCGUGCGCGCACGUACAUGCAAGGAGGAAAGGGAAGUGGGACUGGCUUGCCUUGUGCUACUUUGUACGCGCGUACCGCUAUCGAGAUUGUAGUAUCGAUAUGUAUUUUGUACCGAUCUCGUAAUAUUUACCAGAUUUGUUCCUUCUUUCAGUACCAUCAACAUUGAAUCAUUGCUACUACCGAACAAUGCGCAUUAUAAAUCUGUAAAUGUUUGCACUUGAACCUUCUUUCCUUCUUUUACAAAACUUUCAAAGAAACUUUUGCUUUCGUUCGAUCACUUGGUUAUUACCACUUUAGCAUAACUCGAGCAUGAUUGGUUCGUUUCGGACAUGGUAGCGGAAGGAGGUACAUAAUUUCAUUGGCCGAUUUCGGAGGGUCGUAAAAGGAACUGGGAAAUGGCCUUGGGAGGGAAGGAUCCUAAGCCGUAAGUAUUGGUUAAAACCCAUGCAAAAACGUAAGUGGCGGGUGGUCAACAACCGCCAUUUUAUAGACGCCACCACAUUGCGGCCAUCUUUUGUAUAGUAACCGAAACGUUUCCAUUUCCAUUUGGGAUUGCUCGAUUGGCUCGAAUUCCAUUCACGCGCUAUCUAAUUUUACUCGUUGGCCUCGAAUCCGCUUCGCCAUGGCCUAUAGCGUGCUGUUCUACCUGAGUCCGAGGAAACACGCUUGCAGUUGAACUUCCCGAUUUAUUGCUAUUUUUAUUGAUUUCUACAAUUUUCAAUCUAAUAACAAUGAUUUUUAUUCACAAACCCGUAGUGCAUCUCGAUGUUGGUAAUUUAUUGGCAAUACCGAAUUUGUCUAAUAUCAUUCGCUUGUUAUUAAAUAUAGCGAUUCCACCGGAAGUAAUACGACUGUAUAUACGCGUAUGUAAUUGCUUGUUUAUAUUUAUAUUCGUAGGCGUAUACAGAUUGUUCUUAUAAGCAAUACAAUUUACGAUAAAUAUAUACGUACAUGUAAAGUAAGAUGUUCUAUGCAUGCGCACGUAAGAUAGAAAAGAGUUGUUUUUUGUAAUAAAUCGUUAGUUUUAUAAACUUGAAUCUUCUGCAAGAAUAUUAAGAAUAAACAUAUAUAUAUAAUCAGAAAACUUUAUUUGCUUCUUUUAAAAGACCACACCACUCUAGUUCAAUCUGCGGCUAACAUUUUUUUAGGUAAUUCACGUAUCAACAUGGUAAAAGGUUAUAAAGAUUUCCAGAACGUUUAUACCCUCCCCUUGGUAAUCUCGUUAACCGCUUCGGUAAAGGAUUAAACCUCUUUACGCGCAUCAAAUACAUAAUCCGAAACAAUGCUGGCUGGUGACUUGGCUCGUCUUCUUCGGAUUUCGACUUAAUCCACUAAAUAAGAGUUCCGUCCUCGCUGCAUCAUUCGCACGUUCUAUAACACCAGCGAUGAAAAUUCCACGCUACUCAUUAUGUACGCCAACUGGUUUUAACUGCCACAAUUUUUAGGCGAAACGUUUACGAUAGUCGCACAUCUGUUUAUCUAUAUACAUAUGUGGAAUAUACAUAAAAAGCACUCGUUCCAUAGCGACAUCGUCGAGGCGUCAGACUUCAUUUUCUACUUUCCGUCGUUUGAAAAUUCUCGUUGCCUGCGCCAAUGUUGUGGAUGACAUCAUUGCGAAACGGUUGAACGGCGGGGAAAGGGGCAUCCGUAAAGAUCGUGGAUCAUCACGAAGAGCGGGUAAAGACGAAGAGUGUGUUGCGUGGCGGACAGGAGGGGGGUCGAGAAUGAAAAGGAAGACAUGGCUAGCGAUGGCCUCGAGACGCUUCGAAUUUUUUCCGCCACGCGGAACGGUACAAGUUCUCGAUUAGUUUAAACAGCGACGUGUAGUAAAUUUGAAUAAACGUAGUGCGCAACCUUGGUAGAAAGUGAUAAAUCUAUCGAGCUGUAACCACGUGGAAAGAAAUUAUAUAACGCUUCUCGUUCAUUGUAAUACGUACGGUAAAUUACGUUUAUUCGUUCGUAUAUAAGCAGAAAGGGAAACAUUUGUACGAUUCUCGAUCGAUCUUACGAAUGAUAUCAGAUGCAAGUUGUUGAAGAAAUUAAGAGGCAGAAUCGAACGACCAACGCUAGACACACAGAAGUCCUGGGCGGCUAAAGAGCAAGUGGGAGGAACGGAGAAUGGAAGAACAGCGAAGAGAGAACGACCGAGGUCUUUCUACGUAGAAAACUUACAGAGGGGGGGGGGGGAGAACGAAACCGUGAUGUGAUAUAAGUAUGAGAAUUCAGCGGUGGGGUAGACCAGGCAACCAGGCCUUGAACGAGCGAAAAAGAACAGAAAGCUUCGGAUCCUUUAUAAUACGCUACACAAACUACCGCUUCAUAAAGUUGCACGAAAAUCGACUACCGCAUCUUCCGUUACCAAAUCGUCGUUUCCACGCUUCGUCACUGCGAUUUUUAACGAUUUGGACGUUGUCUCGUUACGAAAACUAAAGACAUGCCCAGAAAUAGAAAGUUACACGUCCAAGUUUCUUUUGACUCGAAUCACGCGCAUAAUUUUAAAGCGGCUAAGCCGAGAGUUAAAUUCGAACCAUCGCUACUUCGAAGUUUGUAUAAGCUGUCGCUGUGGGAUUAUCCGAGGCGAUUAAACCCACGCGAUAUUUCUAUUUUGAUUACCUGAAACGAGCGUUACCCGGAGCGAACUUGAAUUUUAAUGAUCGUGCACGCAUCCGUAAAAUUGACGUUACGCAAGAAAGACCGACCUAACCAGCCUCGUUCACAAAAGUGUGCUUUCUAAAAGUGUCGUAACGAGAUAUAGUCGUUCAAAACUGGGAGAUGCUUCUUCUACAAGUAAGCAACCAUCGAGGAAAGCAGGCUAAGUUUCUACGACACUGGAACAAUGAUCGAGCGCAUUAAGAAUUAUAAGGAACUUUUCCGGAAGUGCGUCAGUAGAAUACCGACAAUGCAUAGAACGGCAGUGGCAAGAAAAAAAAAAAAGAAGAAAGGAUAGCCCGAGGAGAAAGAGAAACAGAAAAAUAAGAAGAGUAUGGUUAUCGUCGGAAAUUCGAUAACGGGUUGUAUAACCACAAUUAUAUCAAACCGUUAACACGCCAUCGGGAUUCGUAUCCUGUUUUAAGACGCUCGAAAAAUGUCUGCGUUUUCCUUUCAUUGGGCGUCAUCGUAGCCGUGAAACUUUUUCUACCUAUGCCGCGAACAGAAAUGAGGAAGAAAAAGAGAGAAGCGAAGGAAAAAUGUCUUACCUUUUAACGUUACGAUAUUUACGAACGUCAAACGAAACACGUAUCGCUACGUCAAAGGUUGCUAAGCUCCGUAACGUUUUAUUCGGACGAUUACAUUUAUCCUCGUGACCGUGUAUCGACCGUGUAACUUUACGUUGUCCGUACCGAAGUUCAUACAUUUUUCAUCGGUUAGCUAAAUUUUAAAUAUCGUCGAUAUAUUGCGAUAUAUAGCUUGUCUGUCGAACUCAGUGGAAAUAAAGUCCUUUCCUGCUG